UACGUAGGGUGCAAGCGUUAAUCGGAAUUACUGGGCGUAAAGCGUGCGCAGGCGGUUAUGUAAGACAGUUGUGAAAUCCCCGGGCUCAACCCUGGGGAACUGCAUCUGUGACUGCAUAGCUAGAGUACGGUAGAGGGGGAUGGAAUUCCGCGUGUAGCAGUGAAAUGCGUAGAUAUGCGGAGGAACACCGAUGGCGAAGGCAAUCCCCUGGACCUGUACUGACGCUCAUGC
rnacentral:rRNA from 1 species